AAACGCAAUCAGUCAAGCAAGCAAGUCGCAGCUUAAGUAACCUUCUUUACCUUCGUACUGAAAGCCUACCUACUAUUUAAAUACAAAAUGCAGCGCCCCACUCCAUGCUUCACCGCCGGUGGCUUCAACAACGGGCCCCACAGGAUGGCACCAAACCCCUGCUUCGGCCCCGCUCGCAUCCCCCACCAGUAUGGACCUUGUUUCGGCCCCAUGCCUAUGGCCCCCGCUUACCAGCCUAGUUCCUGCUUCAUGUCUGCUUCAGCAAUAAAAGGCCAAAUGGGCCCCAAUGGCCCAGUAAAGCGAUACGAUCCCUGCUUCCGAUGAUCACAAGUUCUAAAUAAAUUAUUUACUAAAUCGUCAAGCAAGAUGCAAGCGAUAUGGAAUCUCGUUGAAUUGUUGUAUUGUAAUGUUUUAAUUGAAGCCUAGUUUUAUUAAAAAAUGCUUACUAUUAAGUUAAAUAAACUAUUAUUUUUCUAUAUUUA